UAUAUAGCACACCCAGGGUGCUUGCGACCUCCUGUUUCCGACAUGUCGAGACUUGCUUGCUUGCUUGCAUGUUUCCAACUGAGUGUCAUUCAAUGUUGUAUGUCUGGGAUGUAUAAAACAGAUCCAGCAUUGAUUAGACGUUUGACCAAGCAAAGAACCUUCAUUAUAAAACUGAGCUCAAAAAAUGUUGGAAUGGAACUGAUUAUUACAACGCAUGGUUUAGGUCACUUGGGUGAAGCCAAGAUGGAAGCAAACGGCGUACAAACUCUUCAGGUUACUCGGAUAAAAAGUUUGGCAAUGGGUUGCAGUUGCAGCCAUACAAGUUGGUUAAUUUCAAAAUGUGGAAUUUGGACUUAUUUUAUCGAGCCUGAUUAGCUCUACCUUUUCAUUAAAAAUGGAAUUAAUUUGAUCAACCUCGUCAUCUAUUUAAGGAUUGGAUUACUAUAUAUAGUUUAAUGGAAUUUAUGGAUGUAUGAAUUUAUCCUUGGCAUUGUUAAUGGAUUGUUAAAAUCAUGGAUGGAAAUAAGGAUGUAAUGGUUUGUGGAUAUUUGGCUAUUAUAAAGAGAAAGAAGUUGAAGUAUUUCUAUGGAAAAAAUGAAGAUAUACUUGGAUUAAUUAUGCAGAUCCGAUUAAAGAAACGUUGUUACAAGCACUUCUGUGUGGACAAACGUAUAUCCCUUGACUAAGACAGAGAUUCGUUGCAUUAUCAAGUCGUCUGGUAAAGCAAACAAUUUUGAUAAUUCUAUGACCAUUUGUCAGUCCAUUCUGAAUUUUGCGUUCUCUGAACAAACAAUCAUGAACAAGCGAUCAAAUCGCGUUAAUCUUACUCAAUAUUAUGGACGGGCGCUUGCAAGAGCGGGAGAUAUAACAAACAACAGAAGAAGGCGAAAUAAUUGGAACUUUGACGAAAUGAUAACGUUGACUAGCUGUGCUUCAUUUGGACUCACAAGUUUGGGGUUGUUUUUUUUCUGUCAGUUUUUACACAGAAAAUUUCUCAAGAAUGAAUAAUGGGAGCAUGGGAUACUUGUGAUGUUUUUCUUAUUUGUUGGAUGCGCCAUUUUGUGAAAUUAAAGUUGGAUUGGAACAUUAGACGGUUGAGCAGAGGUACCACCAAGAAAAAAAAUGAUUUAUGACUUCUAUACAUAACAUAAUUAUUGACUUAAAUUCAGCUGUUCAAACACAUCUGACAUGGCAUGUGCCAUUCUCUAGACGAUUGCUCUUGGCCUUCGGGAUGGAAGUUAGAUGACUGUAGCAUUGUGUAACCAAAUUUGGCCAUCGCAUGAAUGUGUGCCCAAAUAUGGACAUUGUAUUGUAUUGAUAUGUAGCUAUUUACACAGAGCUAUGCUGAGACCUCCAAAGUUCUCAGUAAAUAUUUGGUUCUAAUUUGGUAGUUGCUCGUCGCUAUACCAUACACAACAAAUGACGGAUGUUAUGGAGGGUUGCAUUCGUGCAAAACGUUUUGUGGUCGAUUUUCAUCCACCUCAUAAAUAAAAGAAAAGAUAUAUUUUGACUAUUUCACAUCCACCACUUGUAUGGUAUAACGAUAGGCAAGGACCACAUGCAACCAUGCGCCAAAUGUCGCAAUCGUCGGUAGAAUUUCGGUAAAAUCGUCGGUUCAAUUUUAAACCUCUUCACUUUUUUUUGGGUUGAUUAAAAACGUAAAAACUUCGAAAUUCUUCCGCAACGGAAAACGUGAUAAAAAAAUUCCAAACUUUUCCCUCCUUCAAUUGGUAAAGAUCCUUUAUCGUGACAAGUCAAAUUUAUCUUGCAUAUUUGAAUAUUUUUCUACACAAUUUUCAACAGAAAAAUCGGGUUGACCCGUCGCAUACUAUAAUAGUUCAUGGGAAAAUCCCUUAAGAAAAAAUAUCAAAUUUCAGCAGGGAUUGUUUAGAAUUCUGCCUACUUGCAAAAUGGCAUCGUCUGGUUAUAUAUAAUAUGCAUAUACCAUAAUGAUGGGAACCUGCAAAACCGACAAGAAAGGAUAUAAUUUGUAUAUUAAAUAGGGGAUGUGGAUAACUAAAUAAGGAGUACUAACUUAAACUUUGUUGUAAAUUUAUAGUAAUUUAUGUAUACAUGGGAGCACAUAGUGUAUCGUAGGUUUUUGUACAGGGAAAUGGUGUAAAAAUUGGGAUUUUAUAUAUAUAUUAAAAUUUGUACAUAAUUAAUCAUCAAAGAUAUAAAGGCAUGUAUAUAAUUCUACCUUCAGUUGCAUGGGGAAAGAAUUGUUAAUUAUUUAUAACACUUCUUGUAAAGUAAUAAGGUUUUUGGAAAAUCGGGGAAUACAAAGUGUGUGUUUUAUA